GACGAACGCUGGCGGCGUGCUUAACACAUGCAAGUCGAACGGAAAGGCCCUGCUUUUGUGGGGUGCUCGAUUGGCGCACGGGUGUGUGAAACGUGAGUAUCCUGCACCUGUCUUUGGGAUAACUUCUCGAAAAUGCGGCUCAUACCGGGUAUGAGCUCCUGAAGCAUGGUGGGCGUUGGAGAGUUUCGGCGGUGGGGGCUGGACUCGCAGGAUAUCCGCUUGUUGGUGGGGUAGUGGCUUACCAAGGCUUUGACGGGUAGCCGGCCUGAGAGGGUGACCGGCCACAUUGGGACUGAGAGACGGCCCAGACUCCUACGGGAGGCAGCAGGGGGGAAUAUUGCACAAUGGGCGGAAGCCGGAUGCAGCAGCGCUGCGUGCGGGAUGACGGCCUUCGGGUUGUAAACCGCUUUCGCCUGUAACGAAGCGUGAGUGACGGUAAUGGGUAAAGAAGCACCGGCUAACUACGUG
rnacentral:rRNA from 1 species